rnacentral:rRNA from 1 species
GAUGAACGCUGGCGGCGUGCCUAAUACAUGCAAGUCGAGCGAACGGACGAGAAGCUUGCUUCUCUGAUGUUAGCGGCGGACGGGUGAGUAACACGUGGAUAACCUACCUAUAAGACUGGGAUAACUUCGGGAAACCGGAGCUAAUACCGGAUAAUAUUUUGAACCGCAUGGUUCAAAAGUGAAAGACGGUCUUGCUGUCACUUAUAGAUGGAUCCGCGCUGCAUUAGCUAGUUGGUAAGGUAACGGCUUACCAAGGCAACGAUGCAUAGCCGACCUGAGAGGGUGAUCGGCCACACUGGAACUGAGACACGGUCCAGACCCCUACGGAAGGCAGCAGUAGGGAAUCUUCCGCAAGGGGCGAAAGCCUGACGGAGCAACGCGGCGUGAGUGAUGAAGGUCUUCGGAUCGUAAACCUCUGUUAUUAGGAAAGAACAUAUGUGUAAGUAACUGUGCACAUCUUGACGGUACCAAAUCAGAAAGCCACGGCUAACUACGU